rnacentral:rRNA from 1 species
CCUACGGGAGGCAGCAGUGGGGAAUAUUGGGCAAUGGGCGCAAGCCUGACCCAGCAACGCCGCGUGAAGGAAGAAGGCUUUCGGGUUGUAAACUUCUUGUAAGAGGGAAGAGCAGAAGACGGUACCUCUUGAAUAAGCCACGGCUAACUACGUGCCAGCAGCCGCGGUAAUACGUAGGUGGCAAGCGUUGUCCGGAUGUACUGGGUGUAAAGGGCGUGCAGCCGGGAAGACAAGUCAGAUGUGAAAGCCCGCGGCGCAACCGCGGAACUGCAUUUGAAACUGUUUUUCUUGAGUACCGGAGAGGUCAUCGGAAUUCCUUGUGUAGCGGUGAAAUGCGUAGAUAUCAGGAAGAACACCAGUGGCGAAGGCGGAUGCCUGGACGGCAACUGACGGUGAGGCGCGAAAGCGUGGGGAGCAAACAGGAUUAGAUACCCGAGUAGUC